AAGCUGUGAUGAAGAUGUAACUGUGUACCAGAGACGGUCUCUAACGAGACUCCGUCGUUGACGGCAACACAACCCUCUAAGAAGUUCUGAGCUC